rnacentral:rRNA from 1 species
AACGAACGCUGGCGGCAGGCUUAACACAUGCAAGUCGAACGCACCGCAAGGAGAGUGGCAGACGGGUGAGUAACACGUGGGGAUCUGCCCAAUGGUAGGGAAUAGCAGCGGGAAAAUGGAAUUAAUACCGUAAGCGCCCUUCGGGGGAAAGAUUUGUUGCAGUUGGAUGAACCCGCGUCGGAUUAGCUAGUUGGUGAGGUAAAGGCUCACCAAGGCGACGAUCCGUAGCUGGUCUGAGAGGAUGAUCAGCCACACUGGGACUGAGACACGGCCCAGACUCCUACGGGAGGCAGCUGUGGGGAAUAUUGGACAAUGGGCGCAAGCCUGAUCCAGCCAUGCCGCGUGAGUGAUGAAGGCCUUAGGGUUGUAAAGCUCUUUCGCCGACGAAGAUAAUGACGGUAGUCGGAGAAGAAGCCCCGGCUAACUUCGUGCCAGCCGCCGCAGUAA